rnacentral:lncRNA from 1 species
AAAUUACUAAAGAAAAUUAAGAGUAUUAGAAAAAAACAUACUCUUUUCACUUUUAAAAUAUUUCAGGUUACCAUCCCCAACCAAACUCCACAGAAGCUCAGACAAGAAACUAACCUGGGGAGAGCAGCUUCCUGGAACCCAGAGGCAGGCAUUUGAGAGAGGGCAGGCUCACCUACACAGAAGGAAGUUCCCCUGUCCAUUUAAAUUAUUAAAAAUAUUCUCAGCACUGGUGACCUCAACAAGGACUUCUGCAUCUUUGCUUUCUAUAAAGCAAGUCCCAGCCCUAGUAACUGUCAACAGGAGAAGCAGAAGAUGGUACAGCUGAUGGCAUCAAUCUCAGAGGAGUAGCUACAUUUAGACUGGUGGCCACGGAUGGCAGGUCUGACUGUCCUGGAGGUGAUGCUGAGGUGCCAAUUUGUGUUGGAGGCUAAAUGAGAUUGCAGAUUUAGCAGAUUAGUUUUUGCUCGGUGUUCAAAUGGUAUGUUGCUGAAAAGUUACUUCGGUAUCUCAAAGCAAACGCUCCCCAGAUCAUUAGGAGAGAAAAUUAAUUCAACUCUGCUUCAUAAUGAAAUUACAGCUGUUCCUGGUGGCAGAGAGGCCUAAAGGUUUGAGUGAUAGAACUUAGUGUUUCAGAAAUAUUUUUAGUCAGAGACUGAGAAAACUAAAAAAAGCAACAUUCCCCAGGCGCACACACACACACUCACAAGUAGAAUUUUGAGUGUAAUUUACUUAGGUCUGACACAGCCUGCUGGCCAGGGGAGGUGGUGGGGGUAAGGGCAACUUCAGAGGAGAGCACCCACUGCCAGCAGAAUGGAAGUGUUAGCUCUUUUUAAGGAAUAUGGGUCACCUCUGCCAGCACAGAGGACCCAGGGGCAUGGUGUUUGCAAAGACAGUAUCCUCAAAGGCACCUAUCCAGAUGUCCCCACCCAUAUCUUAGGAUCUUAGGUGUUUACCACCAAGACCCUGACAUCUUUCUACCGGUCCUGCCUUGGCUGACCAACACAAGCUCAGUUUUGAGCUCUAAGCCUGUAUUCAGCCGGCUGAAAUGACAUGCACUAUCCCAACUUGCUGGCAGUAGGGACAUUAAUUAGCUGGGGCUCUUGGUCAGUUAUGUUGCUUGCAGGCUGAGUUCUUUGAGGU